UCUUCUUCUCCUUCUUUUAAUCUGCGAUUCAUCUUGAGCAGACAUAUGUAAGGCUUGGGCUAUUUUUUUCUGCGUUUCUGAGCAGUAUGCCACCUCAGGUGGUCUUUUUGAAACCUGUGGGAUUCGUAGAAGUGAAAGUCCCGCUCCCUGAGCUUCUUUCACAGUCUAACCAGAAAACAGACCUAUGAAGAGGGCUGCGUGCUUUGUGUCACGUCACUGAUGUCUGACAAUGUAAAGACCACAUGUUCCUGGGAGACCAGCCAUGCCGUGAGAGGGAAAAUGCCAGUGGAAACACAAGGGCAUGCUAAUCCUGCAUAGACAUUUGGAGCAGUCAUCUGCUGUGAAAUCCCGGCAUCACGUGAAGGCUCCUAUUUGGUAUUUUCACUCAUAGAAUCUUCUGGAUCAGUAGGGCAUGGAUUAGACCAGACCAGACCAGGCACUCCAGAUAUGAAACUGCACCCAACCAGAGACAGAGCUGGGACUGUGAUCCCCCAAAACACCUCUGCAGGCCCGAGUGAUACAAGCCUGUACACCUUGGGACAGCCGGGAUGCAUGUGUUCAGGAUUUGCUGAAGAAAGGCAGAGGGGAUAAUAGAUAAUGCCCUAAAAAAACUUUACCUGGAAGUUGACUUGGCGCCCCCUGGCUGAAAAGAAUGAAACAUCAGUGUGGCAGACAGGUGGCUUGGUCACUUUGGAUCCAGUCUAGUCAUUGUGAACUCCAGAUGACCCCCCCCCCCCAGACCAUCCCAUUACAGUGACCAUCAUCCCUUUCACUCAUCAUGUUCUGCACCAGUCCAACCCUUUGGAAAAGCACCUCUAUCUUUGUAACACCAUGUCAUGUUAUUCAUUUGUGUCCAUCUUGGUUUUAUUUUCGGUAAAUUAAAUUGCCAUUCAUUCAAUCUCCUAUUGCUUAAACACUUUUACUAUAUAAAAUUGUCUUUAUUUGUUUUUAUGUAAUCAUGGUUAAUUAUUGAAACAUGGUGUUUGCUUCAUGUUUUGACAGCCGUACAUUUACAGCAUUUUCACCUGUAUAGUUAAAGCAUCUGGUUUAAGAUUCAAACAAAGCUUUCUCAUUAAAGAGUUUGAAAUUCUGUCAGUAAAAAAAAUCAGAUGAUUCUUUUCACAGGAUACAUCUAUCAGACUUGUGUGGUACAGAUGAUUCUGUCCAUUCAAAAUUGUCUUUGCUAUGGAUGGUAUCGUAAUGACACAUAUUACUGUUUUAAAAUCAAAACCAUAAGUACAAAUUUUGAAAUUUGCAUCAAGUAAAGUAUAUGCUAGUUCAGUAUAAACAAGUUUAAACUGUUAAGUAACAAGUACAACAUUACACCAGAUGCUGUACUGGACACUGUACUAAAUUCUAUACUAAAUAAAAAAAAUUAAAGUACCUUUAUAACAGUUUAUUAGAACAGGUACUAAAUACUGUAUUAGAUACUGGAUUCAUAGUGUCCUGCAAAUUAUUGUUUUAAAUGCUGUACUAAAUACUGCAUCAAGAACACUGUACUAAAUUAUGUACUAAAUUCAAUUCAGUGUGUUUUAGAAUGUACCUUUAGAGUGCUUUAUUAGAACAGAUACUAAAUGCUGUACUAGAUACUGCCUUCAUGGUGUUCUGCAACAUACUGCUAUUAAUGCAGUACUGAGUACUGCCCUGUGUUCUGUGCCAGGCUGGCAUCCCGCCCAGGGCGUACCCCUGCACCGUGCCCCAUGCUGCCUGGGAUAAGCUUCAGGCCCCCCUCCAUGACCCUGACCGGCGGUUAGAAGAUAGAUGGGAAAAUGCACAGACUGUAGAAGCAGCCAGAAACAGCAGAGGAGGGGAACAAAAACCACCUCGGUGGGAUUUGUGAGAGAACAAAGCUCAGGGGGUCCAAGGUCAGCUGGCUGCUCACUCCUCUAGGCACUGCUAACCAUAAAAGUUGUAUCGUAUGCCCAAAUAGUGCCUUGACGAGGCCUUGCUAAAUACUGCAGUAAAGCCAUCCAUCCGCCUUACAUUCCUGUG